rnacentral:rRNA from 1 species
AUUGAACGCUGGCGGCAGGCCUAACACAUGCAAGUCGAACGAGUGGCGGACGGGUGAGUAAUGUCUGGGAAACUGCCUGGUGGAGGGGGAUAACUACUGGAAACGGGAUAUAAUACCGCAUAACAUCAUGUGUGCCCAUAGGGGAUUAGCUAGUUGGGGGGGUAACGGCUCACCAAGGCGACGAUCCCUAGCUGGUCUGAGGGGAUGACCAGCCACACUGGAACUGAGACACGGUCCAGACUCCUACGGGAGGCAGCAGUGGGGAAUAUUGCACAAUGGGCGCAAGCCUGAUGCAGCCAUGCCGCGUGUAUGAAGAAGGCCUUCGGGUUGUAAAGUACUUUCAGCGGGGAGGCGUUACCCGCAGAAGAAGCACCGGCUAACUCCGUGCCAGCAGCCGCGGUAAUAC